GCCGGGCUAGCUCAAUCGGUAGAGCGUGAGACUCUUAGUCGUCACGGUUAUCUCAAGGUUGCGGGUUCGACCCCCGCGUUCGGCU
rnacentral:tRNA from 2 species